UGCGUAGGCGGGCUAAUAAGUCAGUGGUGAAAUCUCUCGGCUCAACCGGGAAACUGCCAUUGAUACUGUUAGUCUUGAGUUCGGUUGAGGUAGGCGGAAUGUGUAAUGUAGCGGUGAAAUGCUUAGAUAUUACACAGAACACCAAUUGCGUAGGCAGCUUACUAGACCGACACUGCCGCUGAGGCACGAAAGCGUGGGGAGCGAACAGGAUUAGAUACCCUGGUAGUCC
rnacentral:rRNA from 1 species